UACGUAGGGUGCGAGCGUUGUCCGGAGUUAUUGGGCGUAAAGGGCUCGUAGGUGGUUUGUCGCGUCGGGAGUGAAAACUCAGGGCUUAACCCUGAGCCUGCUUCCGAUACGGGCAGACUAGAGGUAUGCAGGGGAGAACGGAAUUCCUGGUGUAGCGGUGAAAUGCGCAGAUAUCAGGAGGAACACCGGUGGCGAAGGCGGUUCUCUGGGCAUUACCUGACGCUGAGGAGCGAAGGUGUGGGGAGCGAACAGG
rnacentral:rRNA from 1 species